UCAGCACGAUAGGCACACAUGGGUAGAAUUGCUCGUUUUCAGAUUUAAGAAAAUAUAGCUAAAGUUGCGUCAUUGACAUUGUAAAAGAGAUACACACCAUUGCGUUGGUAUGCCCCGUUGCACAUCAUGAAAUAAAGAAAAAAAGGUCGACUUUGACAGACUGAGCAGUACACUAAGUAGACUACCACUGGAAGAACGGGAAAACAACAACUCAGUAAGGUCUUGGACAGGACACACCAGACAGGACCCACCGGACCUACAGCCGUCUUGGGUAGUGCACAUCCCAGGCUGGCAAACCUGGAUAGGGUGUUCGAAAGGUGACAUUCAAUUGAAAUCCACCCUACUCCUGGUCAUUUAUUAUGACUAAAUAUGAUCAGUCUGACAUAAUUCUAUUUAUAACUGCAUAAUAUCAUACUUUAGCAAAUGUGAUGGGUAGCCAGGCUGAAACUCCCUGUGACAGUCAGUCCAACACCUUUGUCCAAGGCUGUCAAACUAAAUUCCUGGAGAACCGCAUGAUUACUGGGUUAUUUCCUUUCAAUUAAUGUUAAAUGAAGAUCUACGUAUGUAUCUAUGUAUGUAUAUAUAUAUAUAUAUAUAUAUAUAUAUAUAUAUAUAUAUAUAUAUAUACAAUUGAAGUCGGAAGUUUACAUACACUUAGGUAGGAGUCAUUCAAACUUGUUUUUCAACCACUCCACAGAUUUCUUGUUAACAACUAUAGUUUUGGAAAGUCGGUUAGGACAUCUACUUUGUGCAUGACAAAAGUAAUUUUUCCAACAAUUGUUUACAGACAGAUUAUUUCACUUAUAAUUCACUGUAUCACAAUUCCAGUGGGUAAAAAGUUUACAUACACUGAGUAGACUGUGCCUUUAAACAGCUUGGAAAAUUCCAGAAAAUUAUGUCAUGGCUUUAGAAGCUUCUGAUAGGCUAAUUGACAUAAUUUGAGUCAAUUGGAGAUGUACCUGUGGAUGUAUUUCAAGUCCUACCUUCAAACUCAGUGCCUCUGCUUGACAUCAUGGGAAAAUCAAAAGAAGUCAGCCAGGACCUCAACAAAAAGAAUUGUAGACCUCCACAAGUCUGGUUCAUCCUUGGGAGCAGUUUCCAAACGCCUGAAGGUACCACAUUCAUAUGUAUAAACAAUAGUACGCAAGUAUAAAGACCAUGGGACCACGCAGCCAUCAUACCGCUCAGGAAGGAUAUGCGUUCUGUCUCCUAGAGAUGAACGUACUUUGGUGCGAAAAGUGCAAAUCAAUCACAGAACAACAGCAAAGGACCUUGUGAAGAUGCUGGAGGAAACAGGUACAAAAGUAUCUAUAUCCACAGUAAAACGAGUCCUAUAUCGACAUAACCUGAAAGGCCGCUCGGCAAGGAAGAAGCCACUGCUCCAAAACCGCCAUAAAAAGCCAGACUACGGUUUGCAACUGCACAUGGGGAGAAAGAUUGUACUUUUUGGAGAAAUGUCCUCUGGUCUGAUGAAACAAAAAUAUAACUUUUUGGCCAUAAUGACCACCGUUAUGUUUGGAGGAAAAAGGGGGAGGCUUGCAAGCUGAAGAACACCAUCCCAACCGUGAAGCACAGGGGUGGCAGCAUCAUGUUGUGGGGGUGCUUUGCUGCAGCAGGGACUGGUGCACUUCACAAAACAGAUGGCAUCAUGAGGGAGGAAAAUUAUGUGGAUAUAUUGAAGCAACAUCUCAAGACAUCAGUCAGGAAGUUAAAGCUUGGUCGCAAAUGGGUCUUCCAAAUGGACAAUGACCCCAAGCAUACUUCCAAAGUUGUGGCAAAAUGGCUUAAGGACAACAAAGUCAACGUAUUGGAGUGGCAAACACAAAUCCUUGACCUCAAUCCUAUAGAAAAUUUGUGGGCAGAACUGAAAAAGCGUGUGCGAGCAAGGAGGCCUACAAACCUGACUUAGUUACACCAGCUUUGUCAGGAGGAAUGGGCCAACUUUCACCUAACUUAUUGUGAGAAGCUUGUGGAAGGCUACCUGAAACGUUUGACCCAAGUUAAACAAUUUGAAGGCAAUGCUACCAAAUACUAAUUGAGUGUAUGUAAACUUCUGACCCACUGGGAAUGUGAUGAAAGAAAUAAAAGCUGAAAUAAGUCAUUCUCUCUACUAUUAUUCUGACAUUUCACAUUCUUAAAAUAAAGUGGUGAUCCUAACUGACCUAAGACAGGGAAUUUUUUACUAGGAUUCAUUGUCAGGAUUUGUGAAAAACUGAGUUGAAAUGUAUUUGGCUAAGGUGUAUGUAAACUUCCGAAUUAUUUUAUAUUUGAGAUUCUUCAAAUAGCCACCCUUUGCCUUGAGGACAUCUUUGCACACUCUUGGCAUUCUCUCAACCAGCUUCACCUGGAAUGCUUUUCCAACAGUCUUGAAGGAGUUCCCACAUAUGCUGAGCAAUUCAGAUGGGAUGUCGUAUCGCUGCAGUGUGCUGUGGUAGCCUUGCUGGUUACGUGUGCCUUGAAUUCUAAAUUAAUCAUAGACAGUGUCACCAGCAAAGCACCCCCACACCAUAACACCUCCUCCUCCAUGCUUUAUGGUGGGAAAUACACAUGUGGAGAUUAUCCGUUCACCCACACAGCGUCUCACAAAGACACGGUGGUUGGAACCAAAAAUAUCACAUUUGGACUCAUAAAACCAAAGGACAGAUGUCUAAUGUCCAUUGCUGGUGUUUCUUGGCCCAAGCAAGUGUCUUCUUCUUAUUGGUGUCUUUUAGUAGUGGUUUCUUUGCAGCAAUUCGACAAUGAUGUCCUGAUUCACACAGUCUCCUCUGAACAGUUGAUGUUGAGAUGUGUCUUGUUGCACCCUCGACAACUACUGUGAUUAUUAUUAUUUGACCAUGCUGGUCAUUUAUGAACAUUUGAACAUCUUGGCCAUGUUCUGUUAUAAUCUCCACCCGGCACAGCCAGAAGAGGACUGGCCACCCCUCAUAGCCUGGUUCCUCUCUAGGUUUCUUCCUAGGUGUUGGCCUUUCUAGGGAGUUUUUCCUAGCCACCGUGCUUCUACACCUGCAUUGCUUGCUGUUUGGGGUUUUAGGCUGGGUUUCUGUACAGCACUUUGAGAUAUCAGCUGAUGUAAGAAGGGCUAUAUAAAUACAUUUGAUUUGAUUUGAUCUUGAACUCUGUGAAGCAUUUAUUUGGGCUGCAAUCUGAGGUGCAGUUAACUUAAUGAACUUAUCCUCUGCAGCAGAGGUAACUCUGGGUCUUGCUUUCCUGUGGCGGUCCUCAUGAGAGCCAGUUUAAUCAUAGUGCUUGAUGGUUUUUGCGACUCCACUUGAAGAAACGUUCAAAGCUCUUGACAUUUUCCAGAUUGACAAACGUUCAUGUCUUAAAGUAAUGAUGGACUGUCUUUGCUCUUAGCUUAUGUGAGCUGUUCUUGCCAUAUAAUGGACUUGGUCUUAUACCAAAUAGGGCUAUCUUCUGUACACCACCCGACCUUGUCACAACACAACUGAUUGGCUCAAACACAUUAAGAAGAAAAGAUACUCCACAAAUUAACUUUUAGCAAGGCACACCUGUUAAUUGAAAUCCAUUCCAGGUGACUACCUCAUGAAGCUGUUUGAGAGAAUGCCAAGAGUGUGCAAAUCUGUCAUCAAGGCAAAGGGUGGCUACUUUAAAGAAUCUCAAGUAUGUGUUAUUUCAUAGUUUUGAUGUCUUCACUAUUUUUCUACAAUGUAGAAAAUAGUCCAAAUAAAGAAAAACCCUUGAAUGAGUAGGUGUGUCGAAACGUUUGACUGGUACUGUAUAUAAAACUCUUCUGACGUCAAAUCUCGUACAACCAAAUACUUCUCUGAAUCUGCCACCACCAACUCUAUUUUUUGUGACUUACAUUCCAUCCCUGCGGUAUGGUUGAUAACUAUUGCUAUGAACGCUAUAUAAAGCUAAUCUUGCUGAAGCAUAUACUGUAUCACUCAUUGGCCUAUCCCUCUGUGCUGGCACAGAUCUACUACUCACACAAAUCCUCUCAGGAUCCCUUCCCCUUGUUCUCCCUAUCUGCAAGCAUAACUCAUGUAAAUUCAACCAACCAAUAGGAAUACAUAAACAUCGAAUACAUAAGUGUUUUUUGGGGAGAUUAGUCAUUAUUAGAAAAGUUUGGUCCAAAUCUGAUUUGUUAAAUAUUAUGUUUAAUCCUAUAAAUUAAAAUGGCCAGUUUGGGUGCAAUCAAUUAGCUUAAUUUCUCAGAGAUCAAAUUAUAUUUAAACAAAAUAAUGUUGCAGUAAUGCUAAUCUGAUCUGUUUCUAACUACAGAAACAGUUUCAGAACAAUCUGAGAUAGUGCGUGUUGUAGUUCUCUUUCUGGUGAUUUUUGAGGUGGAACGACUCUCUCUCUGUCCAUUUCAAUUAAAUGGGCUUGUAGAAAUACAAACACAGGCAUAAUAUUGCUAAUAAACUUUCUCACGGUUCUCAUACUAAGACUGACCUCAGUGUUCCUGGGUGAAAGACGUUACAGGGUUGUUUUGAAGGAAGCAGAGUUUCACAGCCUCUCUCUGCCCGCUCAAGUCUUCUCAAAUUAACAUGGGCUGAAACAUACUGCUCCACGAACACAUAAACGUAGGCACACACACGCACACACACACACGCGCACACGCACACACACACACACACACACAUCCACAAACUUUCACAUUACACAUUACAUUGCCCUUACAAAGCGCUGCUCUGAGUGCCUGCAGUCUAUUGACACAGUACUGAAACUAGAGACAAAUAACACAACCACCACUUGAGAUAGGAGCUCAAUUAAUGAGAAACUUUACUUCUGUUGGCAAAGGGGCUUUCUGUUUUAAUGACUUGCUGUAGUGUGCAAGGGCUCAGACUUAGAGCUCUCUUUAUUCAUUCUGUCCUUUUAAUGCGUCAAAGGGUUACUGUGUCGACAAUAUUUCAGCGGUGACUUUCAUACUCAGAGAAAUAGAAAGUGUAUAGCCAGCCAAAGGCUACCUGCUUAUUUGAUAUACAGCUAACACACUACUUACGCUAAUGCUUUGCUACACCUUUAGAAAAAAAGAUGCUAAGUAGAACCAUAUUGUCACGUUCCUGACCUGUGUUCUGUUGUUUUGUAUGUGUGUGAUGGUCAGGGCGUGAGUUUUGGGUGGGCAGUCUAUGUUUUCUGUUUCUAUGUUGGUUUUGGGUUGCCUGGUAUGGCUCUUAAUUAGAGGCAGGUGUUUUGCGUUUUCCUCUAAUUGAGAGUCAUAUUAAGGCAGGGUGUUCUCACUGUUUGUUUGUGGGUGAUUGUCGUCCGUGUCUGUGUCUGCGCACCACACGGGACUGUAGCGUUUGUUCGUUCGUUUGUUAUAGUCUGUACCUGUUCCUACGUGCUUCGUGUUUUAUGUAAGUACUCUCGUUCAGGUCUGUCUAUUUCGUUUUGUUGUUUUGUAAAUUUAUCAAGUGUUCUUCGUGUGUUUAGUUUCGUCUGGUUAAUAAAGUAUCAUUAUGUAUUCACAA